CCACAAGCCAGGUCCCAUGUCCAUACGUGUUAUCGUUAAUGAGGUCAAGAGGUCAUCACGGCAUAUGUGAUUGACGCCACCACUUUUCACCAUCGCUUUGUUCCUCCUGCCAGAUCCCAGACACAGUCAACAACCGACUUCAAGGUCCUACUUAUACAUUGUCAUCAACAAUCUCUGGCUUAAUAUAUUUUCUGAGGUCACCAAUCUCUGGUCGUUCAUUCUCAUGCCUGCCCUGCUAAACUCCUCCCUUCCGGCUAUUUUCUGAUGUGUGUUCGCGUUUUGUUUUCAAGCCAUGAAUGUGUAGUGGCCUUAUUGAUGACAGAGACUUUUGACUUGAGGCAACACGUAUUUAUUACAAAUACAUCAACAGUAGCGACCCUGACAAUUGAAGAGGUAACGGCCUCUUCACCAGUGCUAUAUAGAGGGAAGUGUUCACCGAGUUAUGCGCCCGUUAACUCCCUACUUCCCUCUUUUCUAGUCCUCCCUGCCGGAGGCUAUCUGACCUGGCCCAGCUUCGGCGCAGGUCUUGACCACCAGCCACACGAGUCCGGCCCUUAGAAGGACAUCGGCCCUCGCGGCUCUGGUGUCGCACCCUUGCUUGCUCUGCCCGGCCCUGAAAAGGGCAGCGAGUCAGAGGAGUUCCAGGAUCGGGCUAGUCCGUCUUCUCUCUUCACUGGCUCUUCAUCUUGGCUUGGUCGAACUGCCCCCUCUGCUCUCUGGGUCCCACCUUUUAUACAAUUUCUCUCCGAGGGGCGGGUUUCUGUGGGAUCCUACCGACCCCCCAGUCCCCUCCCCUCAGGAGGCCCAGGACCCACAUCACACACAACCGCCCACAACAGGUUUGUACCGCUUCCCAGAGGAGCGGGGUCCUGUGGGAUCUUACCGACCCCACAGCCCCCUCCCCUCAGGAAGCCUGGUCCGAGAUGACACAUUCACCCGCACCGGUAAGUAUUGUAAGUCGCCCGGUUUGGUGUGUGCGUGCUCCAACACCACCACCAGACAUGGUGCAACCCAAAAAAUAACAUCGGAAAGCCACCCUUCCUUCAUCCUCCACAUAUAUCCCACCAAUCAUAACCUCUUAAAUCCGAUGGAAACCAAUCAGAGGAUUAGUUGGUAAUGCCAGUUACAAAAAUCACUUGAUUAUGUUUUCCUUUAGAUUAACAUAUAAUUAUCACGUUCUAGGAAAGGUUUGCUUAUGCAUUUCAUGAAAAUGACAGAAUUAAUCAUAUGCAAAAUAGAUUUCCUCUGAAAAGCUCAAAUAACGAAGAAAGGUGCCUUUUUGUAAUAUUUUAUAGCACUAAUCAAAUAAUGGCACAUAUGUUAGGAUUGGAUACGUCAUACCAAAGUCAAUCAAAUUCCCUGCCCUGAGAGUUUAUUAUCCACAGGCAUAUUGGAAGGCUCUCUGAAAUGCCACGUUACUACUAAAUAGACAAUUGCGAUCCACUGACUGAGUGGCAAGAUGUACUUUCUAAUAAUUUUCUGGAAGAAGUAGAAAGUUGAAAUGUCGCCUAUAACUAGUAAUACAAACGGAAUGGAGGCUACGCCUAUAACUAGUAACACAAGCGUAUUUGAGGCUACACCUAUAACGAGUAAUACAAACGGAAUUGAGGCUACGCCUAUAACUAGUAAUACAAACAUAGUUGAGGCUACACCUAUAACUAGUAAUACAAACGUGGUUGAGGCAAUGCCUAUAACUAGUAAUACAAACGUACUUGAGGCAACACCUAUAACUAGUAAUACAAACGUACUUGAGGCUACACCUAUAACUAGUAAUACAAACAUGGUUGAGGCUACGCCUAUAACUAGUAAUACAAACGUAGUUGAGGCUACACCUAUAACUAGUAAUGCAAACGUAGUUGAGGCAAUGCCUAUAACUAGUAAUACAAACGUAGUUCAGACUAGGUCUAUAACUAGUAAUACAAACGUAUUUGAGGCUACACCUAUAACUAGUAAUACAAGCGUAGUUGAGGCAAUGCCUGUAACUAGUAAUACAAACGUGGUUGAGGCUACACCUAUAACUAGUAAUACAAAGUAGUUGAGGCAAUGCCUAUAACUAGUAAUACAAGCGUAGUUGAGGCUACGUCUAUAACUAGUAAUACAAACGUGGUUGAGGCUACACCUAUAACUAGUAAUACAAGCGUAGUUGAGGCAAUGCCUAUAACUAGUAAUACAAACGUGGUUGAGGCUACACCUAUAACUAGUAAUACAAACGUAGUUGAGGCAAUGCCUAUAACUAGUAAUACAAACGUAGUUGAGGCUAUACCUAUAACUAGUAAUACAAGCGUAGUUGAGGCAAUGCCUAUAACUAGUAAUAAAAACGUGGUUGAGGCUACACCUAUAACUAGUAAUACAAGCGUAGUUGAGGCAAUGCCUAUAACUAGUAAUACAAACGUGGUUGAGGCUACACCUAAAACUAGUAAUACAAACGUAGUUGAGGCAAUUCCUAUAACUAGUAAUACAAACGUAGUUGAGGCUACACCUAUAACUAGUAAUACAAACGUAGUUGAGGCAAUGCCUAUAACUAGUAAUACAAGCGCAGUUGAGGCAAUGCGUAUAACUAGUAAUACAAACGUGGUUUAGGCUACACCUAUAACUAGUAAUACAAAAGUAGUUGAGGCAUGGCCUAUAACUAGUAAUACAACCGUAGUUGAGGCUACGUCUAUAACUAGUAAUACAAAUGUGGUUGAGGCUACACCUAUAACAAGUAAUACAAACGUAGUUGAGGCUACACCUAUAAUUAGUAAUACAAGUGUAGUUGAGGCCAUGCCUAUAACUAGUAAUGCAAACGUAGUUGAUGCUACACCUAUAACUAGUAAUACAACCGUAGUUGAGGCAAUGCCUAUAACUAGUAAUACAAACGUGGUUGAGGCUACACCUAAAACUAGUAAUACAAACGUAGUUGAGGCUACGUCUCUAACUCGUAAUACAAAUGUAGUUGAGGCUACACCUAUAACUAGUAAUACAAACGUGGUUGAGGCUACGUCUAUAACUAGUAAUACAAACGUAGUUGAGGCAAUGCCUAUAACUAGUAAUACAAACGUAGUUGAGGCAAUGCCUAUAACUAGUAAUACAACCGUAGUUGAGGCUACACCUAUAACUAGUAAUACAAGCGUAGUUGAGGCUACGUCUAUAACUAGUAAUACAAGCGUAGUUAAGGCAAUGCCUAUAACUAGUAAUACAUAUCUAGUUGAGGCUACGCCUAUAACUAGUAAUACAAGCGUAGUUGAGGCAAUGCCUAUAACUGGUAAUACAAACGUAGUUGAGGCAAUAUCUAUAACUAGUAAUACAAACGUAGUUAAAGCUACACCUAUAACUAGUGAUAGAAACGUAGUUGAGGCUAUGUCUAUAACUAGUAAUACAAACGUGGUUGAGGCUACACCUAAAACUAGUAAUACAAACGUAGGUGAUGCUACACCUAUAAUUAGUAAUACGAGCAUAGUAAGGCCAUGCCUAUAACUAGUAAUGCAAACGUAGUUGAGGCUACACCUAUAACUCGUAAUACAAGCAUAGUCGAGGCAAUGCCUAUAACUAGUAAUACAAAAGUGGGUGAGGCUACACCUAUAACUAGUAAUACAAACGUAGUUGAGGCUACGUCUCUAACUCGUAAUACAAACGUGGUUGAGGCUACGUCUAUAACUGGUAAUACAAGCGUAGUUGAGGCAAUUCCUAUAACUAGUAAUACAAACGUGGUUGAGGCUACGUCUAUAACUAGUAAUGCAAACGUAGUUGAGGCAAUGCCUAUAACUAGUAAUACAAACGUGGCUGGGGCUACGUCUAUAACUAGUAAUACAAACGUAGUUGAGGCUACACCUAUAAUUAGUUAUACAAACAUAGUUGAGACAAUGCCUAUAACUAGUAAUAUAAGCGUAGUUGAGGCAAUGCCUAUAACUAGUAAUACAAACUUGGUUGAGGCUACACCUAUAACUAGUAAUACAAACGUAGUUGAGGCAAUGCCUAUAACUGGUAAUUCAACCGUAGUUGAGGCUACGUCUAUAACUAGUAAUACAAACAUAGUUGAGGCAAUGCCUAUAACUAGUAAUACAAACGUGGUUGAGGCUACACCUAUAACUAGUAAUACAAACGUAGUUGAGGCAAUGCCUAUAACUAGUAAUACACACGUAGUUGAGGCUACACCUAUAACUUGUAAUGCAAACGUAGUUGAGGCAAUGCCUAUAACUAGUAAUACAAACGUGGUUGAGGCUACGUCUAUAACUAGUAAUACAAGCGUAGUUGAGGCAAUGCCUAUAACACAUAAUACAAAUGUGGUUGAGGCUACACCUAUAACCCGUAAUACAAACGUAGUUGAGGCAAUGCCUAUAACUAGUAAUACAAACGUAGUUGAGGCUACACCUAUAACUAGUAAUACAAACGUAGUUGAGGCAAUGCCUAUAAUUGGUAAUACAAACGUAGUUGGAGAAAUGCCUAUAACUAGUAAUACAAACGUGGUUGAGGCUACGUCUAUAACUAGUAAUACAAACGUAGUUGAGGCUACACCUAUAGCUAGUAAUACAAGCGUAGUUAAGGCUUCGUCUAUAACUAGUAAUACAAGCGUAGUUAAGGCAAUGCCUAUAACUAGUAAUACAAACCUAGUUGAGGCUACGCCUAUAACUAGUAAUACAAGCGUAGUUGAGGCAAUGCCUAUAACGAGUAAUACAAACGUAGUUGAGGCUACACCUAUCACUAGUAAUUCAAACAUAGUUGAUGCAAUGCCUAUAACUAGUAAUACAAACGUAUCCCGAGGCAAUACCUAUAACUAGUAAUACAAACGUAGUUGAGGCUACACCUAUAACUAGUAAUACAAACGUAGUUGAGGCAUUGCCUAUAACUAGUAAUACAAACGUGGUUGAGGCUACACCUAUAACUAGUAAUACAAACGUAGUUGAGGCAAUGCCUAUAACUAGUAUUACAACCGUAGUUGAGGCUACGUCUAUAACUAGCAAUACAAACGUGGUUGAGGCUACACCUAUAACUAGUAAUUCGAACGUGGUUGAGGCUACGUCUAUAACUAGUAAUACAAACGUAGUUGAGGCAAUGCCUAUAACUAGUAAUACGAACGUGGUUGAGGCUAUACCUAUAACUAGUAAUACAAGCGUAGUUGAGGCAAUGCCUAUAACUAGUAAUACAAACGUGGUUGAGGCUACACCUAUAACUAGUAAUACAAACGUAGUUGAGGCAAUGCCUAUAACUAGUAAUACAACCGUAGUUGAGGCUACGUCUAUAACUAGUAAUACAAACGUGGUUGAGGCUACACCUAUAACUAGUAAUACAAACGUGGUUGAGGCUACGUCUAUAACUAGUAAUACAAACGUAGUUGAGGCAAUGCCUAUAACUAGCAAUAUGAACGUGGUUGAGGCUACACCUAUAACUAGUAAUACAAACGUAGUUGAGGCAUUGCCUAUAACUAGUAAUACAAACGUGGUUGAGGCUACGUCUAUAACUAGUAAUACAAGCAUAGUUGAGGCAAUGCCUAUAACGCGUAAUACGAACGUGGUUGAGGCUACACCUAUAACUAGUAAUACAAACGUAGUUGAGGCAAUGCCUAAAACUAGUAAUACAAACGUGGUUGAGGCUACACCUAUAACUAGUAAUACAAACGUAGUUGAGGUUACGUCUAUAACUAGUAAUACAAACAACAUUAAAUUUGUGCCCCCAAAAAUGAUUGCCUUGACUUCACUCAUAGGGCAGGGUCAGUCUAAAGUUCUAAGUCGCUUUAAGUUUCAAGCUAAACACUUAAAAUACACGAUCACCAUCAUCAGUGAACAUUUACCUCCCUUGAAGUGUGACAAUAUAUUUGGUAGACAGUAGGUAAAGCCCACUACUGGUUACUAAUACGUAUAUAUUCUUAAUGGUAGGUGUUAAAUAAUGAACAAAUAUAUAUGCUGUGGCAUUAUGUGGUUACAUAAGAUGGUUGCAUUUACACAGCUUCUUUCAGGCACAAGACCUUGAAAAGCACUUUAAAAUUCAACCAUAAUCUACACUUCCUAUUAAACACCAGAUAUUUGUUUUCAAGUAAAUUUUCAUUAAAAUAUUUAUUAAACAAAUAUGUUUGAGGCAUGAUAACAAAAGAAAUGUACACAGAAACAGUGAAUCUUACCAAAGGGCAGUGAAGAAUUUUCAAUUUCCAGGAGCUUCAAAAUGCGAAAAUCUUCAAAAAUGCCUUUGUGACAUUUGCACCCUGGGUGAUGUUCACAUUUUUAAUGAAAAAUAAGCAUCAUCCAUAUGAUAAUGGACAUGACAACACAUAACAAAACUAAGGGUAACAAUCCUUAAUCCAAUCGUGCCAAUGUAAUAUCUUCGGUUACCAUUCCCACUGAAAGCAAAGCAUCAACUGACAGCGUCAUACAGAUGCGAGUUUCCCCAAUGCACUGGUAUGAGCGAUAACGAAACAUACAGCUGCUCGCUAAAAAUAUUAAAAGAAAAAAUUGAUUCUUUCAAGCCAAGAAAUAUUGAGUACCACAUGUAACUUGGAUGGACCCCAGGGGGUUCUGGCAGGGUAAGUAAAAUUUCCAAAAAUACAACAGAGACUCCAAUAAAAGUCUAUGACGCGUGGCCAAACUUCACGGGAACGUGGAAAUUGUCAUCAAAAGAUAUUACAUGAUUCACGAAUGGUUCUGAUGUUUUUUUUAUUUCAAUACGCAGGGCUUAAUUUCUCACCAAAUAUAUUCCUGGUCACUGGAGUAGGUAAGUAGCCAUAGUCAUAGUGGGAGGAAUGCUGGAUGUCGUGUUCCGGGUACAGAAAUACAUUUCCGGGAUCGUUGACUGAGACAGACUUGCACCAUCCCACUACACCCUGCACCCUUACGGUUCUAACAGGUGCCAGUAGCAGUUGCAAUGUAAGUGAACUUUGGGUAGUAAUCGUUGAAACUGCUUUCAUGUGCCCUCGCUUGCCAUGCUGUGGAGAGUCGUAGCUCAUUGAUACAAAACGGUACCUCUCAGCACAUCCCAGUAGGAAUAUUAAAGGAAUUGCAUGCUCCAGCCCCAUCCAUUCUUCUGUUUAAGAAUACAUCUUUGAACAUAAUGUGAAAGUAAGAGCACCUCAAAAAAACAUCAUUGGCGGGCAAUAGGCCGGGGAAUAAUCCAUGCUCUCUCGCGUGCUCACUGCCAAAGCCAGGUAGGCAAACACGCACAAAUGUGCAUCACGCCACAGUCUCAUUAAAAAUUUCGAAAGUCAGAUUUGAUCUUUAACCCUUUUAACCGCGACGGAAUGAGAAGGCUGACGUUGGGUGCAUUAAUACAGCCCACUGAAUAACUUUCAGUAAUCCAUACAAUGCAGUUCAAAAAUUGGCUGCACCCAAACGCCAGAAAUCCUGCAAGCUAAAGCACUCAGCGGAGGCUUGCGGUUUAAAGAAAUAAAAACAACUUGAACUCUUUCUGCAAUGAAAUGCACUCGUGUAAUUUUGUAACAGAUUUCAGUGCAAUACAUCACAGAGAUAAUUUGCAUUUUGUCGUGACACAGUCAUAUGAUUGUGCACCUGUGAGCAUAUAAUAAUGUAUGUGGAAACCUCGUCAUCAUUAAAUGUCAAUCCUCAAAUCUGGGGAUCGGGAGCGAAAAGGUUAAAGCCGUUGCGGGGUUUAACUCGGAGGGUUCAGAUCCACUCGAGGCUGCUGUACUUGGGGUGGGAAUUGAUUUGAGCACCACAGGAAUAAGCCUCUGCUGAGAGCAUUUGUGCAUCACUGAAAGGCGCUGGAAACAAUACAGAAAUGGAGGGGAAAAUUAGAUUGAUCUUUCCUUUCCCAUAGCUUGACCUUUUGGGAAAACAAGGCAGUCGGGUGUGUGAAAUUUAAUCUGUCUCAUGUGUUAACAGCGAUGCCCUGGCAGAGCUGGGUGUCUUGCACAUUGGCAUGCCACUUUUGUCUGGGCACAGCUGCACAAUUUAGUAUACGGAUCAUGAGACAUGUGACAAUGUGCCAUUCUAAUUACACAAUUGGUAGAAUUUUGUCAGAGACAUUACCCCUGUGCAUCAUAGCUUAUAUCUUGACUUAAAGCUUUCGUGACUGCAGGAAUUCAUAUUCUUUGGGUCUUUCGGUAAAGCCACGUAGAUAGAAAAAGAAUAAAAAAAUAACCACAAUAUAACGACGUUUUCGAUCGCAACACAAGCAAUCAUAAUCAGGUGAGAGCUGCUGAAGCAGGGAAACAUAUAUGGCGGGAGCGCUGUUAAGGGGCAGGGAGUUAUAAAGGUUUGAGAUGGGUGUAGCCCAAGGGUCAGUGGGUGGGGCUAGAGAUGAAAUUUGCAUGUAAAUGUAAGAUAAGAUAAAUCUUGAUAAACGAAGAUUUCCCCUAUCUUACAUAUACAUGCUUCAGAUUGUGCUCUUUCUGCACAGUUUACACUUCUAUAAAGAGGUCUAUCCAUGUCAGUGACCCGGAAUAUAUUUUUGCGCUCGGCACACUACGUCCAUGAUGCAUCCCAUUCUGGUUAUAGCUACUAGUCACAUACCACAUCUCAGUCUACUAGCAAUCCAAAAACAUGACAGAUUCAGCCCCGCAUUUAGGCCAUGCUACUGUACGUGUCUAAUUCCAGAUUUGUUUAACUCAAUCCUUCUCAAUGUGUUCAUAUGCUUAAGGAACCUGGCAGUAAAAAUAAUACUUUUUCAGAAUGGAAAUCAUGAUUGUGCACCCCUUUGACUUUCUGUGGCCACGUGUGUUUGAAAUGGAGUACAUUAUUGGCUUUCCUGCUGUGCUUUUCAUCAUUAUUAUCCUUUGCAUGGUCUCUUAGAUUUGGCGGAAAUACGAUUCCAAUCGGAGUGGCUUCAUCUCUGCCGUCGAGCUCAAGAAUUUUCUCAGCGACCUCCUGGCAAGACACACCAAGAAGAUUCCCGACCACAAGUUGGAGGAGUACACUGAUGCAAUG